rnacentral:rRNA from 1 species
GAUGAACGCUGACAGAAUGCUUAACACAUGCAAGUCUACUUGAAUUUGGGUUUUUAACUUAGAUUUGGGUGGCGGACGGGUGAGUAACGCGUAAAGAACUUGCCUCACAGCUAGGGACAACAUUUAGAAAUGAAUGCUAAUACCUAAUAUUAUGAUAAUAGGGCAUCCUAUAAUUAUGAAAGCUAUAAGCGCUGUGAGAGAGCUAUGCGUCCCAUUAGCUAGUUGGAGAGGUAACGGCUCACCAAGGCGAUGAUGGGUAGCCGGCCUGAGAGGGUGAUCGGCCACAAGGGGACUGAGACACGGCCCUUACUCCUACGGGAGGCAGCAGUGGGGAAUAUUGGACAAUGGACCGAGAGUCUGAUCCAGCAAUUCUGUGUGCACGAUGAAGUUUUUCGGAAUGUAAAGUGCUUUCAGUUGGGAAGAAAGAAAUGACGGUACCAACAGAAGAAGUGACGGCUAAAUACGUGCCAGCAGCCGCGGUAAUACGUAUGUCACGAGCGUUAUCCGGAUUUAUUGGGCGUAAAGCGCGUCUAGGUGGUUAUAUAAGUCUGAUGUGAAAAUGCAGGGCUCAACUCUGUAUUGCGUUGGAAACUGUAUAACUAGAGUACUGGAGAGGUAAGCGGAACUACAAGUGUAGAGGUGAAAUUCGUAGAUAUUUGUAGGAAUGCCGAUGGGGAAGCCAGCUUACUGGACAGAUACUGACGCUGAAGCGCGAAAGCGUGGGUAGCAAACAGG